rnacentral:rRNA from 1 species
AGAGUUCUAUCCUGGCUCAGGAUGAACGCUAGCGGCAGGCUUAACACAUGCAAGUCGGGCGGCAGCGGGGUGGGAGCUUGCUCCCACUGCCGGCGAGCGGCGCACGGGUGAGUAACACGUAUGCAACCUGCCCCUGUCAGGGGGACAACCCGCCGAAAGGCGGGCUAAGCCCGCGUAUAUCGCCCCGGGGCAUCCCGGGGGGAGGAAAGGAGCGAUCCGGACAGGGAUGGGCAUGCGGCGCAUUAGCUGGUCGGCGGGGUAACGGCCCACCGAGGCGACGAUGCGUAGGGGUUCUGAGAGGAAGGCCCCCCACACUGGUACUGAGACACGGACCAGACUCCUACGGGAGGCAGCAGUGAGGAAUAUUGGUCAAUGGGCGGGAGCCUGAACCAGCCAAGCCGCGUGAGGGAAGAAGGUACAGCGUAUCGUAAACCUCUUUUGUCAGGGGACAAAGGCGGGGACUAGUCCCCGGAUGAGGGUACCUGAAGAAAAAGCAUCGGCUAACUCCGUGCCAGCAGCCGCGGUAAUACGGAGGAUGCGAGCGUUAUCCGGAUUUAUUGGGUUUAAAGGGUGCGCAGGCGGCCUGUUAAGUCAGCGGUAAAAGCCCGGGGCUCAACCCCGGCGAGCCGUUGAAACUGGCGGGCUGGAGUUGGAGAGAAGUACGCGGAAUGCGCGGUGUAGCGGUGAAAUGCUUAGAUAUCGCGCAGAACCCCGAUUGCGAAGGCAGCGUACCGGCUCCACACUGACGCUGAGGCACGAAAGCGUGGGUAUCGAACAGGAUUAGAUACCCUGGUAGUCCACGCAGUAAACGAUGAAUGC